GAGAAAAACACAUUGGUGUAGGGGAAUAUAUGCCACAUGCCACCUUCCAGCCUUCUGUGGGUAUUCGUGGCCAUCAUCUACUCAGGAGCCAGCAUGGCCCAGAAAGUUACUCAAGUCCAGUCAGUCAUAUCCAUGCAAGAGGGGGCAGCAGUCACCGUGGACUGCCAGUAUGAAACAAGUCGGAGUGACUACGCUAUUUUAUGGUACAAGCAACAUUCCAGUACAGAGCUCGUUUUCCUUAUUCUACAGAGAUCUAUUGACCAUAAUGCAAAGAAUGGUCGCUAUUCUAUAAACUUCCAGAAACAAGAUAAAUCCAUCAGCCUCAUCAUUUCACCCUUAGAACUCGAAGAUUCAGCAAUGUAUUUCUGUGCUCUGUGGGAACACACAGUGCUUGAAAUGAUAGUGGAAGCUGAACAAAAACUCCAGAGCUCCAUAAGAGAGGGCCCUCUGCUGCAGGGGAGAGCCAAUAUGCACACCUGCAGAUUUCAGACAAGAAAUGGUGGUCACUGCGGUUGCUUAAUAUGUGGUGUGGAUCAGAUGGUUUAA